GCCUUCAUGGUGUAAUGGCCAGCCCACUCAACGCGCAGAGGUCCGAGGUUCGAAUCCCGGUGAGGGCA
rnacentral:tRNA from 1 species